rnacentral:tRNA from 1 species
CCUUAGCUCAGUUGGAUAGAGCAACGGCCUUCUAAGCGUGGGUCGCAGGUUCGAAUCCUGCAGG